UAGAUGCUAAUACAAAGAAAUUCCAACGAUUUAUGACCUCUCCUCAACCUUUAGGUGUUAAUGUUGGUGUGUUUGUCUUGAUGAAAUUUGGGACUCAAUUGCUGAUGGUUUCAGUUUGGUCAUUUCUCAGAUGAUGGCGAUUGCAAUAUGUGGAUAUGGAAUUAUGGGAUAGUGUCACUUGGUAGAAUGUCUUUUCUUUGAUUAUUAGCUCUUAUGUUGUCUAGAUUCAACUUCCAAUAGCAUUUUGUAGUGCUUGUGAUCAAGAUUUUAGUUAUGCUCACUGAUCCGAAGUUUUUGUUUAUGUUCACUUAUCCAAAUUGAGAGAUUUACAUGGGCUCUUGAAAUGUUGCUGAAGUCAAGUCUACAAUUUUGUGCCCGUUGGAACUAUAAAUUUUUAUGAUGUGUUGUUAGCAAGAAGUUCUUAUGCAUUUAUGAUGCAAUUAUUACUAUAGUUAAUAAGGUUUUAUAAUGUGGCAUUUUAUAUUGUUUGCUAUGCUUUAGCUAAAUUGACUUUACUCAACUCGAUACUCAAAGAACAUCCUUGUGUAAUUUUUACGGUCCUUUUUGCUUAUCAUGUUAUUACUUCUAAAAUAAUUAAUUUGUAAUUCUAUGAUGGUAAAUGUACAAUGUGAAAUAUUAAGUGUAAAUAAAAUCUCACUCAAAUUGAAAUGACUAGCAAAGCAAAUUAUAAAGGUAUCGUACAAAGCUAGUUGUUAAUUGGAAUUGGAACAUGUUUGGUCAGCAUUCAACUGAUAUCUCAAUAAAAGAUGCUUCUUAAUCAGGUUAAAACACAUGUACUUAUCCAUACAUUUUGAAGGUACACUCAAUCAGUUACGUUUUGAUAUGGUAAUUUGAAACUUUUAUUUUUAGUCUCCAUAGGUUAAGGCUGUGUGGAAUCACUAGAUUUGGGUAUAAAAGUAGAUGCAUAACUGAAUCAUGACACCUUUGGCUCAUAUCAUAUUCUUUUUUAUCACUAAAUAGGAAGCUAGCUACUUAGUUUUGAUGAACAUCUUCUAUUGUUUAUAAAGCAAAUUGUCAUGCCCUGUAAUUCUUUAUGUUGUUUUUCUUCUUUUAUUUUUUCAUGUAAUAUGGUAUCAAAACUUAAUUGCUGACCCAUAUGCUCGUCCCUCUUGGAUUUGUAUGCUAUGUUUGUAUGUAGUUGUUUUUGCUUUUCAUGUACUUUCCAACUUCCAUGAAUGAAUUGAAUAUUGGUACUAAUUCUAACGCAAUAUGAUGUGAUAUAACACAAAAAUACAAAAAUUGUUAGUUGAAAUCUUUAGGAAUGUACAAUAUAUUAAUUAAUGCUAGCAAAUGAUCGGAUUGAUGUUGUCAAAUUGACUCUGUUAGAACGUCAAUCCUUGUUGUCAAUAUAUCAUACCAACUCAGGCAGAACAUCAAUAACAUCAAUCCUUAUUGUCAAUAUACCUUGGUUACUUUAAUUAUGGCUAUCUAAAAUCGAAACAUGAAAAAAAUAUUGAGGAAAAUAAUUUGGAGUACAUAAAUUAAUUUUUAUGACUUUUAAACAUAAUACAGUUGUUUGAGGUAAAAUUUCAAAUUAAUUUGUUUUGUUUAAUGAAAUUUACCAUCAAAUUGGGAGUAUAACUAAAUUUCCUUUGUCAUGAGAAAAUUAAUAGAUAAUUUUAGAAAGAAAUAUUGAUAACAAUUAAGAAGAAGUUGACAAAAACAUAUAACACAAACAAAACAUAUAAAAUAUUUAAAAUAAUUAGGAAAAUAUGAUUUAAUUGAAAGCAAUUUGAAAAAUAUUUAAAUAAGAUUUAACACAAUAAAAACAUGGAAAAUUAAAAAUCUACUUAUGUUGAUAAAGAUGUUAGAGAAAUGUUUACAAAUUUAUGAAAAUUAAAAAUUUCACAAAAGUUGUCUUAGUCUAAGAAUAUAUUUUCCUCAAAUCUUGAAAGUCCAUAAUAGUUUAUCACACAAUCAAAAUCUUCAAGGGCAUUCCUAUAGACUGCACCUACUCGAUCCAAAACAUAAUUAUCUAAUAAGGGACAUGACGAGUGCCUACUGGGCCUCUACCUGAACUUCAUUAACUCAGACAAACAUAGUUCACUCGAUCAAGGAUCUCUGCUAAUUUCCUUGCCCUCAAACACCUAUUGCAUCAAUGAUAACAUAUUUUAUAAUUUAAAAGAUACAGUCAACAAAGAAAAAAUACUCUUAACAUGUCUCCUUAGUUUUGAUGUAAUGCAUUACUUAGCUUUUAAGAAAUGAACAUUUUGAUUUUUUUUAAAAUAGAUGUAAUUGAAAUAAAGUUUACAAAAGGUAGAAUAUGGUGAUUAGGAAUACUUGUUAAUUGGCUAAAAUAUGUUAAUUGUUGCCAUUUUGUGUGUCUUCAUUAAGAAUUAAUUAUAAAAAAUACAGUUAUCAUUUAAUAAAUAUAAGGCAUUGUUAGAGAUUACAUUUUAGAGGAAGGGAGAUGCAUAGUU
rnacentral:lncRNA from 1 species